rnacentral:rRNA from 1 species
CGACUGCUAUCAGAGUGGGACUAAGCCAUGCGAGUCAACGUAGAAAUACGUGGCAAACGGCUCAGUAACACGUAGUCAACAUGCCCAGGGGACGUGGAUAACCUCGGGAAACUGAGGAUAAACCGCGAUAGGCCAUGAUUUCUGGAAUGGUUCAUGGCUGAAAUCUAUAUGGCCCCUGGAUUGGACUGCGGCCGAUCAGGCUGUUGGUGAGGUAAUGGCCCACCAAACCUGUAACCGGUACGGGCUCUGAGAGGAGGAGCCCGGAGAUGGGCACUGAGACAAGGGCCCAGGCCCUAUGGGGCGCAGCAGGCGCGAAAUCUCUGCAAUAGGCGAAAGCUUGACAGGGUUACUCUGAGUGAUUCCCGCUAAGGGGAUCUUUUGGCACCUUUAAAA